UACGUAGGUGGCAAGCGUUGUCCGGAUUUACUGGGUGUAAAGGGCGUGCAGCCGGGAAGACAAGUCAGAUGUGAAAUCCCGCGGCUCAACCGCGGAACUGCAUUUGAAACUGUUUUUCUUGAGUACCGGAGAGGUCAUCGGAAUUCCUUGUGUAGCGGUGAAAUGCGUAGAUAUAAGGAAGAACACCAGUGGCGAAGGCGGAUGACUGGACGGCAGCUGACGGUGAGGCGCGAAAGCGUGGGGAGCAAACAGG
rnacentral:rRNA from 1 species